rnacentral:rRNA from 1 species
AUUGAACGCUGGCGGCAUGCCUUACACAUGCAAGUCGAACGGUAACAGGUUAAGCUGACGAGUGGCGAACGGGUGAGUAAUGUAUCGGAACGUGCCCAGUCGUGGGGGAUAACUGCUCGAAAGAGCAGCUAAUACCGCAUACGACCUGAGGGUGAAAGCGGGGGAUCGCAAGACCUCGCGCGAUUGGAGCGGCCGAUAUCAGAUUAGGUAGUUGGUGAGGUAAAGGCUCACCAAGCCGACGAUCUGUAGCUGGUCUGAGAGGACGACCAGCCACACUGGGACUGAGACACGGCCCAGACUCCUACGGGAGGCAGCAGUGGGGAAUUUUGGACAAUGGGCGCAAGCCUGAUCCAGCCAUGCCGCGUGCGGGAAGAAGGCCUUCGGGUUGUAAACCGCUUUUGUCAGGGAAGAAAAGGUUCUGGCUAAUACCUGGGACUCAUGGCGGUACCUGAAGAAUAAGCACCGGCUAACUACGCG